UACAGAGGGGGCAAGCGUUGUUCGGAAUUACUGGGCGUAAAGGGCGCGUAGGCGGCCUUCUAAGUCGAACGUGAAAUCCCCGGGCUCAACCCGGGAACUGCGUCCGAUACUGGAAGGCUUGAAUCCGGGAGAGGGAUGCGGAAUUCCAGGUGUAGCGGUGAAAUGCGUAGAUAUCGGGAGGAACACCUGUGGCGAAAGCGGCUCUCUGGACCACAACUGACGCUGAGGCGCGAAAGCUAGGGGAGCAAACAGG
rnacentral:rRNA from 1 species